rnacentral:rRNA from 1 species
UACGUAGGGUGCAAGCGUUGUCCGGAAUUAUUGGGCGUAAAGAGCUCGUAGGCGGUUUGUCGCGUCUGCUGUGAAAACUCGGGGCUCAACUCCGAGCUUGCAGUGGGUACGGGCAGACUAGAGUGCGGUAGGGGAGACUGGAAUUCCUGGUGUAGCGGUGGAAUGCGCAGAUAUCAGGAGGAACACCGAUGGCGAAGGCAGGUCACUGGGCCGCAACUGACGCUGAGGAGCGAAAGCAUGGGGAGCGAACAGG